CUGUUAAGGGACGACAUCAAAAGUUCAAUGUAGGAUAAAAAACUUAAUUCACAUAGUUUUUUCCCUGACACCCCCACCCCCCUCUUAACUUAAUUUGGGAAAAAUUGAUUUACCAAUAGGAAUAUAUGUAAAAAUCGAUUUUAGAUAUACAAAACUUGUAGAAUUUUAACCCCCCAACCCCAAACUAUUUGAUUUAAGUUUUUAUGCCCCGUCUACGAUAGUAGUAGAGGCAUUAUGUUUUCUGGUCUGUGCGUCCGUUCGUCCGUCUGUUCGUUCGUCUGUUCGUUCGUCCGUUCGUCCGUCUGUCCCAUGUCAGGUUAAAGUUUUUGGUCGAGGUAGUUUAUGAUGAAGUUGAAGUCCAAUCAACUUGACACUUAGUAUACAUGUGCCCUAUGAUAUGAUCUUUCUAAUUUAAAUGCCAAAUUAGAGUUUUGACCCCAAUUUUACGGUUCACUGAACAUAGAAAAUGAUAGUGCAAAUUUCAGGUUAAAGUUUUUGGUCAAGGUAGUUUUGAUGAAGUUGAAGUCCAAUCAACUUGAAACUUAGUAUACAUGUGCCCUAUGAUAUGAUCUUUCUAAUUUAAAUGCCAAAUUAGAGUUUUGACCCCAAUUUUACGGUUCACUGAACAUAGAAAAUGAUAGUGCAAAUUUCAGGUUAAAGUUUUUGGCUUCAGGUUAAAGUUUUUGGUCAAGGUAGUUUUUGAUGAAGUUGAAGUCCAAUCAACUUGAAACUUAGUAUACAUGUGCCCUAUGAUAUGAUCUUUCUAAUUUAAAUGCCAAAUUAGAACUUGAAACUUAGUAUACAUGUGCCCUAUGAUAUGAUCUUUCUAAUUUAAAUGCCAAAUUAGA
rnacentral:lncRNA from 1 species